rnacentral:rRNA from 1 species
CAGUAACGGCGAGUGAAGCGGCAACAGCUCAAAUUUGAAAUCUGGCCCCCGGGUCCGAGUUGUAAUUUGUAGAGGAUGCUUUUGGCAAGGUGCCUUCCGAGUUCCCUGGAACGGGACGCCAUAGAGGGUGAGAGCCCCGUCUGGUCGGACACCGCGCCUCUGUAAAGCUCCUUCGACGAGUCGAGUAGUUUGGGAAUGCUGCUCUAAAUGGGAGGUAUAUGUCUUCUAAAGCUAAAUACCGGCCAGAGACCGAUAGCGCACAAGUAGAGUGAUCGAAAGAUGAAAAGCACUUUGAAAAGAGAGUUAAAAAGUACGUGAAAUUGUUGAAAGGGAAGCGAUUAUGACCAGACUUGGGCCUGUUUGAUCAACUUGGGUUCUCCCGGGUGCACUCUCUCAGGCCUAGGCCAGCAUCAGUUCGUCGCGGGGGAAAAAUGUCGCGGGAAUGUAGCUCCCCUCGGGGAGUGUUAUAGACCGCUUCGUAAUACCCUGCGUCGGACUGAGGUUCGCGCACUUGUGCAAGGAUGCUGGCGUAAUGGUCAUCAUCGACCCGUCUUGAAACACGGACCAAGGAGUCGUCUUCGUAUGCGAGUGUUCGGGUGUUAAACCCCUACGCGGAAUGAAAGUGAACGCAGGUGAGAGCUUCGGCGCAUCAUCGACCGAUCCUGAUGUUCUC